AUUGAACGCUAGCGGCAGGCUUAACACAUGCAAGUCGAGCGAGCGGCGGACGGGUGCGUAAUCUCUGGGGAAUGACCGAUAGAGGGGGAUAACUACUGGAAAGGGUGGCUAAUACCGCAUACUAUCGGAUAACCCAUAUGGGAUUAGCUAGUGGGUGGGGUAAAGGCUCACCAAGGCGACGAUCUCUAGCAGGUCUGAGAGGAUGAUCAGCCACACUUGGACUGAGACACGGCCCAGACUCCUACGGAGGCAGCAGUGGGGAAUUUUGCACAAUGGGCGCAAGCCUGAUGCAGCCAUGCCGCGUGUAUGAAGAAGGCCUUAGGGUUGUAAAGUACUUUCAGCGGGGAGGCGUUACCCGCCGAAGAAGCACCGGCUAACUCCGUGCCAGCAGCCGCGGUAAUAC
rnacentral:rRNA from 1 species